AGAGACAGUACAGUUCAGUGAGUGUAAAGUCCAACACAACCCUCACUGAACUUUACCGUCUCUUU
rnacentral:pre_miRNA from 1 species